GACUACCUAUAUAAAAUAUAUUAUUGACUUGAACGGGUGCGCUUUUUUUCCAUAAUUUACUACAUUUUAAUUCUGCUCCGAAUUUGGCGAAUUAAACGCGCGAUUGGAGCGCAACGUCAAAAAAAAAAGAUUUUAUACAGGUAGGUAUAACUGCAAAUGGUAUCUAUAUAAGCGGUUUUUUAUUCCAUUUAUAUUUAGACGAAAUUCGUGAUAUUCCGAGCAUUCAAGAAUCAACUGCUUAGAAUUUUAUCAAAGAAUUUUUUGUACAGAAUUUAAUUUUAAUUUGCCGAACACCGUUCUCAACAGAUAAUAUCGGUGAGUUAUAGAAUUAAAAAAUAAUUGAAUGGCAUGAUCGUCAACUUUAUGAGUAGGUAAAACAUUAGCAAGAACAUACGAAGAACAACUUAAUUUUUGAAUAUGUCAUUCAAACGUCGUGUAUUAAUGGAAAUGGAAAGUGCCCUAACGAUGUUUAUAGGUGAAUGCGAAAAUUCGUCAUUAAAGGCAUUUAACUCAUGCAAAAAAAAAACCGUCAAAUUCAUAAAUCAUUUAAUGGGUUGUAUCACGAGAGAAAGCGUGCGUGUAUACAUAUUGGGAACUUAUGAUAAAAAAAAAAUCAUUUUUUUCCGUGAAAACAAGUACGAGUAUAUCUACGGUGAAAAUUAUGCAACAAAAAAUUUUACGAGCUCAGAAAUCUACGUGCGAUGCGUCAGAUAGAAUUGUAAAUUUAAA